ensembl:lncRNA
AUGUCUGCCAAGCCAGAGUCCACUAACAUCAUGUCUGCUACCCCAGGGUUUACUCACAUCAUGCCAGUCUCUCAAGAGAUUCUCCACAACAUGGCCGCCAUUCCAGAGUCUCGUCACGACAUGGCAGCCAUUCCAGAGUCUCGUCACACCAUUUCUGAGUCUACUUACGUCAUGCCUGUCAAGCCAGAGCCUUCACACAAGAUGGCCGCCACGCCUGAGUCCCCGGCCAAGAUGGCCGCCACGCCUGAGUCCCCGGCCAAGCCUGAGUCUCGCCAUGUCAUGGCUGUCACAGAGACUGUUCCCGUGACCUCAGUGCUUCCAGUAAUGGCAGUCGCCAUUUUGAGCAUGUGGGCUGCUCACUGUGCUCCAGAGAUCUCCCCUGUCCACGAGUCUGCUCCUGAGGCCACUCCUGGCCGUGAAUUCACUCCAGUGCCCCCAGAGGCGACGGUGUCCACUGCAGAACCUCCCGAGGAGGCGGCUUCCACUGCAGAACCUCCUGAGGUGGUGGCACCCACCUUUGAACUCUCUGCCCAUCCUGUCAGGGCCAAGGAGGCCGUCCACAAACUCUCUGCCUGUCCUGUCACGGCCAAAGAAGCCAUUCACAAACUUACUGUCUGUCCUGUCAUGGCCACGGAGGCCGUUCACGGACUCACUGUCUGUUCUGUCAUGACCAAGUGGUCUGUCCACGUCUCUGCUCCACCAUGGCUUCCUGCUCUGCGGGCACUGCCUAGACACCCCGCUCUGCCUGCUCCGCCAUGGCUCCCUGCUCUGCCUGCUCCGUCAUGGCUCCCCAGUAGGCCUGCUCCGCCAUGGCUCCAUACUGCUCUGGAUCUGCUCCACGGCCCAGGGCCCCCUUUACUCCAUUGUCUGUCACUGCUCCAAGGCCCAGGUCCCCCUCUGCUCCAUUGUCUGUCAUUGCUCCACCCUCCAGGUUCUGUUCCUUUUCACAGGCCUGGACCUCAAUCCCUCCCCCUGUUCCGCCUCCGCUCCACCACCCUCCUGAAUUUCUUGGGUUUUGUUUGUUUGGGCGUCAGGAGCCACCCUUAG